UAAUAAGGAAAAAAAAAAGAAAAUAAAUGCAUAAUGAAAAGGAAAUAUAAAUAAUAUCAAAUUCAAAUAUUUAAAAAGUAAAAGAAAAACAAAUAAAUAAAUAAAUAGACAAAACAAAUAUAAAUAAUGUAAUUGGCCCAUUUUGCCCGGGCUUACUAGAGAAAACCCCAAAAAAAAACGAAAACAAAAAUAAAUUAAAAUAAAAAGCCGAAUAAAGUCUAAAAUUGAAGUAGCCCAAACAGUCCACUUACAACCUUUCAAUAAACACCAAACUAGCCCAAAAAAUAAAAAACACAAAUUCAACCCAAUUACAUUUGGCGCAAUGCCCGAAUAGCCUAAACGUAUACUGAGGACCAAGGACCAAUAUUCCUAGCCCGAUUUGCAAAAGGGCCCAAACCCAAAAGAACCUAAAAAAAGAAUUUCAGCAGCCAAGAGCUCCAGAAGCUCCUGGAAUACACUGGAAUGGCACCAGAGGGUCGGCUUCCCACGUGAGAUCCCCACACACGGCCUCCACGCCAUCUGGGUCAUCUCCUCCGUACAACUGAACCUGCAAAAGAACACACGAGAAGGAGCAGAUAACAGAAUACAGCAAGGAUUUGAUUUUUAUUUAUUUAUUUAUUUUCAUUUUUUGGCUAUAAAAAGGCCACUGGAUGGACUAUGUAAUCUUCCGCAGACACAUACACUAUGCGCAGAUUGAAUAUAAAAAAUUCGAAAAUAAUUUCUGAAAAGGUGAUCUUCUUUAGUCUUUUUAAUUUUUCUGUUAUUUUUAUCUAUUUUCCUGCCAUUGUUUUCAUCAUCUGCAUUUUAAAACAAAGAGGAGGGAAAGGCAAAUCUUACCUUGCGAAUCGGCCAUUGACCUUUGUUCACUUCGUUGAGAUCGAAGUUGGAAGGGGGAUCCAAAGGCGUCAUCCAUCAAUCAUGGUGUUGCAAGUGUACAUGAAACAACGCCAAUGAAAUCCCAAAUAUCUGUGAAAUACUGAGAUACAGGCGAGGGUCGGAUGGUAUUAAAUGUGUUUGUUUUCAUCUUUGGCUUCAUCUUUCUUGAAUGAAUGAUAUUAGAUCUAAGAGUUUUUUUUAAAAGAAAAUAGAAUGGCUUACCUGUUCUCCUUGAGCAUGGCCUUUGACAGCUUCUAGGUGCUGCUAGUGCACCAUCGAUCACCAAAAGAAAUGGUGGAUUCGGCAGUCGUUGGAAUGAGCCCAACAAAUUGAUUUUAGGGCUGUAAAUUUUUUGGUUAAAAUGGUGGUUGUGUUUGGGAAAGGAAAUAGGGAAAAACGGUUUUAAGUAACCUGUUAAUAAAACGGUGCCGUUUAGUGCAAGGAGAUCCGCGCGUCAACCCAGUCCCAGACCCGGAUCCGCGCCUCCAUGCUUCUAAUGGGAAAUUUCUGCGAUUAAUCCCUCCUUUUUAUGCCGCAUUUCAGUUAACCCCUAUUAGCAUCUUAUUUGUUUUUUUUUAAAUUUUCCUCAAAAUUUCAUGAGCUAUUUCAUUUUAAUCCACGCCUGAAUGCUGCGUUUUGGGGGUCUAGAAUAUUUCCAGAUUCAGUCCCUGUACAUUUUGGCGUAUUGCACAUAGGUCCUCAUUUUCUUAUCAGCAGUUCAUUUUAUUUGUAAAUUAUCUUUCUUAUUUUAAUUUGACUUCAAUUAGGUUUUUUUUAGAUUCAUUUCAUGUUUUUUUUUAAAUUCAUGUUUAUUUAUUUGUAUUAAUUGUAUCAUUUGCAUCAUUUGUUUAUUUAUUGUAAUUUGGGUAAUUGUAUUUUCACAUAUUGUAUACUAUUGUAUGUAAAUGUUUUUAUACAUUAUUAUACAUAUAUAUAUACUUUAUAAUAAAAUUAGUUUUAU
rnacentral:lncRNA from 1 species